GAUUAAGCGAUGAUGAGAAAAGUAAUUCUCAACUUCAUUUUAAAGAGAGUCUAUAGUUGGUGAGAGUAGAUAUUUGAAGCGGAAUGAAAAUGGUCUUUGAGCUUUUGUGAGUAAAGUAGUUGAGCUUACAACGGGUACGCCUGAUAUAGCGUGAAGGAAUGUUAGUUCUGGAUUGAGAUAGUUUAGAGAUUUGUUUUAUAGUCGUUAAACUUAAACCAAAGGUGGUACCGCGAGAGACACUCGCCCUUUUA
rnacentral:ncRNA from 1 species